UUUAGACUCACGCAGCAGUGACAGGUUAAGUGACUAGCUUUGAGUCAUGUACUGAGUCAGUGGUGGGGAUAAAACAUACAACCUGAACCAUUGGACCGUACUGCCUGCCUACAGGAGCAAGUCAUAAGGAGUAAACUAGAAACAUCUACAGAUGGACACACCAUAGGAGAGAACUGGAAGACAGCAGAAGACAACCUCAUACAACCUCGAAAAAACACCCCUUGAGGACAAUGAAACUAAAGAAGCCCUGCACUUUCCAGUCCAGCUGGUAUAAAGGAGAGAUGUUCCUAAGAAAUGGUGUCUCAGGUCAGACCUGAUGAGCCACAAGGAAGGUCACAUAGACGCCUCAAAGCUUUUCAAACAAUGGCAACUUGCUGAUCCCUAUUGC